UGGCGGACGGGUGAGUAAUGUCUGGGAAACUGCCUGAUGGAGGGGGGAUAACUACUGGAAACGGUAGCUAAUACCGCAUAACGUCGCAAGACCAAAGAGGGGGACCUUCGGGCCUCUUGCCAUCGGAUGUGCCCAGAUGGGAUUAGCUAGUAGGUGGGGUAACGGCUCACCUAGGCGACGAUCCCUAGCUGGUCUGAGAGGAUGACCAGCCACACUGGAACUGAGACACGGUCCAGACUCCUACGGGAGGCAGCAUG
rnacentral:rRNA from 1 species